rnacentral:rRNA from 1 species
UCGGGAAUUUUGGGCAAUGGGCGAAAGCCUGACCCAGCAACGCCGCGUGAAGGAUGAAAUCCCUCGGGAUGUAAACUUCGUAAGAACAGGAAGAAUAAGGAAGGGUUAAUACUCCUUCUGAUGACGGUACUGUUUGUAAGCUCCGGCUAACUCCGUGCCAGCAGCCGCGGUAAUACGGGGGGAGCAAGCGUUGUUCGGAUUUACUGGGCGUAAAGGGCGCGUAGGCGGCGUGACAAGUCACUUGUGAAAUCUCCGGGCUUAACUCGGAACGGUCAAGUGAUACUGUCGUGCUAGAGUACAGAAGGGGCAACUGGAAUUCUCGGUGUAGCGGUGAAAUGCGUAGAUAUCGAGAGGAACACCUGCGGCGAAGGCGGGUUGCUGGGCUGAUACUGACGCUGAGGCGCGAAAGCCAGGGGAGCGAACGG